UUUUGCUAUCUGUUCAGGCAGAUGUAGAACUGCCCAGUUCGAGCCGAGCGGAGCGAGACAACAUCGGCGCCUGCGACGAUGGCCCGAAGGGUGAACAGCGAAGCUGUGAAUCAUCUGCCUAGUCCUACCA
rnacentral:sRNA from 1 species